AUGCCUUAAACUUAUGAGUAAGGAAAAUAAUGAUUAGGGGUGACACCUGGAUCCUCACUGCUAAUGUGAGAUGAAUUUUUUUAAGCGGGUAAUGUUUGCCCCUAAGGUGACCCGCCUACUUUGCUGGAUGUCUGAGAGUCCCGGUCUGCCCG
rnacentral:snRNA from 1 species